ACGGAGAAGCGCGACCUUUAACCUGAGGCCGAGGGUGCGUUAGAGGUGGCAGCAGAAGGAAGAGCGGAGGCGGGUGACGGCCGAGCUGCGGGGCCAGUGUGCGCCGGCUGCCAUGGAGGAUCCUGUUCAAGAUGGGGUGGCUUCACCAGCCACCCCUGGGACCGGGAAGUCCAAGCUGGAAACCUUGCCCAAGGAAGAUCUUAUCAAGUUUGCCAAGAAGCAGAUGAUGCUAUUACAGAAAGCUAAAGCCCGAUGUGCAGAGUUGGAGAAAGAGAUUGAGGAAUUCAAAUCAAAACCUGUUGCUGGAGGAACUGAUGAUAUUAUUAAGGCAUUAACUGAGCGUCUGGAUGCUAUUCUUCUGGAAAAAGCAGAGAGUGAGCAACAAUGUCUUUGUCUGAAGAAGGAAAAUCUUAAAAUGAAGCAAGAGGUUGAGGAUUCUCUUACUAAGAUGGAGGAUGUGCAUAAGGAGUUUGAACAAUCACAGAGAAACUAUGUAAAAGAAAUUGAAAAUCUGAAAAAUGAAUUAACGGCAGUACAUUCCAAACACAGUGAAGAUAAAGCUAGCUUGCAAAAGGAACUGGAAGAAGCAACAAAAAAACAAUUAGAACUUUCCGAACAACUUAAAUUUCAGAGUGACUGUGAAGAUAAUGUUAAAAAACUACAAGAGGAGAUUCAGAACAUCAGGCCAGUCUUUGAGGAACAAAUUUUGUAUCUGCAAAAACAAUUAAGCACUGCCACAAAUGAAAAGGAGCAAGAAAUUACACAUCUCCAAGAAGUCAUUGAAGCUAAUUCCCAGCAUUACCAAAAAGAUGUUAAGAGUUUGCAAGAAGAGCUUUUGCAGUUGAAAGCUGCACACCAAGAAGAGGUGAAAGAUUUGAUGUGCCAAAUGAAAGCAUUUGCAAAAGAACAUGAAGCAGAAGUAAGUAAUUUAAACCAGCUAAAGGAGACUUUAGUCAGACAAUGUGAGGCAAGUGAGAAGAACAUUCAGGAGAAAUAUGAAUGUGAAUUAGCAAAUUUAGAGAAUGUGCCAGAUGCAAACCGCAAAAAUCAGAUGUGUCCUAUGCUCUUACAAGAAGAAGCUUUUGUAGAACAAGUAGUAAAUGAAAAAAUCAAACACUUAGAAAAUACCUUAAAAGAAUUGGAGUCUCAACAUAGUAUCUUAAAAGAUGAGGUAACUUACAUGAAUAAUCUUAAAUUAAAACUUGAACUCGAUGCACAACAUAUAAAGGAUGAGUUUUUUCAUGAACGGGAGGACUUAGAGUUUAAAAUUAAUGAAUUAUUGCUAGCUAAAGAAGAACAGAGCUGUGUCAUUGAAAAAUUAAAAUCUGAACUAGAAGAUUCAAACAAACAAUUUUGCUGUACUGUAGAACAACAUAACAAAGAAGUACAGAGUCUUAAGGAACAGCAUCAAAAAGAAAUAUCAGAACUAACUGAGACAUUUUUGUCAGGUUCAGAAAAAGAAAAAUUAACACUAAUGUUUGAAAUACAGGGUCUUAAGGAGCAGUGUGAAAACCUACAGCAAGAAAAGCAAGAAGCAAUUUUAAAUUACGAGAGUCUGAGGGAGAUUAUGGAGAUCUUACAAACAGAACUCGGGGAAUCCGCUGGGAAAAUAAGUCAAGAGUUUGAAUCAAUGAAGCAACAGCAAGCAUCUGAUGUUAACGAACUUCAGCAGAAACUCAGAACUGCUUUUAAUGAAAAAGAUGCUCUUCUUGAAACUGUGAAUCGUCUCCAAAGAGAAAAUGAAAAGUUGUCCCAACAAGAAUUAGUGCCAGAACUUGAAAAUACCAUAAAAAGUCUUCAAGAAAAGAAUGAAGUGUGUUUAGUUAGUCUCAGUCAAAGAGAUACCAUGUUACAAGAACUUGAAUCAAAGAUAAGGUCCCUUACUGAGGAAAAAAAUGAUUUCAUAAGUAAAAUAAAAACUUCUUAUGAAGAGAUGGAGAAUCUCCAUAAAAAAUGUGAGAGAGAAGAAAGAUUGAUCAUAGAACUUAGGGGAAAACUUGAGCAAACUAGCCACUACAACAGUGAACUGGAACAGAAGGUAAAUGAAUUAACAGGAGAACUGGAAGAAACUUUAAAGGAAAAGGAUCAAAAUAACGAAAAAGUAGAAAAGCUUAUGAUUCAAUUAAAAACUGUCUCUGAGGACCAGGAAGCACUCUCAUCUGAAAUGAGGUCUCUUUAUGAGGAAAAGAAUAGAUUAAGUUCAGAAAAGAACCAAUUGAAUAGGGAUUUGGAAGCUCUCCUGUCCCAAAAAGAAGGAGAUGUUAUGCUUAAGGAACACCUUUCUGAAUUAGAAAAGAAACUUCAGUUAACAGUUGCAGAACGAGAUAACUUAAAUACACAGUUUGAAAAUGAGCAGAUUCAGAAGUUAUUUGUCAAAACUCAGUUGUAUGGUUUUCUGAAGCAGAUGGAGUCAAAAGUUUCAGAAGAAGAUGAAGAGCAAGAUGUUGUAAAUAUCCUGCAAGCUAUAGGUGAAUCCUUAGCUAAAAUAAAUGAGGAAAAGCACAACUUAAUACUUCAAUAUGAUGAAAGGGUGGCAGAGUUAGAAAAAAAGAUUAAGUGCCUUCAAAAAGAGAAUGUAGUUCAGCAUGAAGAACUUCAGUCUCUACUAAGAGAUCAUGAACAAGAGAAAGUUCUCUUAAGGAAAGAAUUAGAAGAAACCCUGUCACAUAAAGAGGCCCUGCAGUCUGAUCUAGAAAUGAAGAAUGCUAAUGAAAAAACAAGGCUUGAAUAUCAGAAUCUUUUAAGUCAAGUUGAAGAAGCCUCUCAAAACUUACAUAGCAAAAAUGAAACCCAAAAUGAAAAAGAACAAUCUUUUGUAAGAGAACUUGAAAACCUGAGGCUAUUGCUGGAACAAAAAGAAGCUGAACUGCAGGACAUGAGAGCCAAGUUGUUAUUACAGGAUUCCUUAGAGAAAUCACCUGUAGAAAAUGAUCAACCUUCUUUAGUAAAAGAGUUGGAAGAAAAGAUAGGAUAUUUGGAAAAAGAAUCCAAAGAGAAAGAGGAAAAAAUAAAUAAGAUAAAACUAGUUGCUGUGAAGGCAAAGAAAGAACUAGAUUCUAGCAAAAAAGAGGCCCAGACUCUGCGGGAAGAGCUUGAAUCUGUUCGAUCAGAAAAGGAUCAGUUGUCUACUUCCAUGAGAGACCUCAUUCAAGGAGCAGAAAGCUAUAAGAAUCUUUUAUUAGAAUAUGAUAAGCAGUCAGAGCAGUUGGAUAUGGAAAAAGAACGUGCUAAUAAUUUUGAACAUCACAUAGAAGAACUUACAAGACAAUUAAAGAAUUCGACUUUUCAGUGUGAAAAAUUAAAUUCUGAUAAUGUAGAUCUCCUGGCUCAUAUUGAGACACUACAGUCUAAUGCAAAGUUAUUAGAAGUACAGAUAUUAGAAGUCCAAAAAGCCAAAGCAGUGGCAGACAAAGAGUUGGAAGCUGAAAAACUUCAGAAAGAACAGAAGAUAAAGGAGCAUGCCAGUUCUGUAAAUGAACUUGAAGAACUUCAGCUCCAACUUCAGAAGGAAAAGAAGCAGCUUCAGAAAACCAGGCAAGAAUUAGAGCUGGUUCGAAAGGAUGCCCAGCAAACCAUAUUGAUGAAUAUGGAAAUAGCUGACUAUGAACGUUUGAUGAAAGAACUAAAUCAAAAGUUAACUAAUAAAAACACCAAGAUAGAAGAUUUGGAGCAAGAAAUAAAAAUUCAGAAGCAGAAACAAGAAACCCUGCAGGAGGAAAUGACUUCACUACAGUCUUCAGUACAACAACAUGAGGAAAAGAAUGCCAAAAUCAAGCAGUUGCUUGUGAAAACCAAAAAAGAACUGGCAGAUUCAAAGCAAGCAGAAACUGAUCACUUAAUACUUCAAGCAUCUUUAAAGGGUGAGCUGGAGGCAAGCCAGCAGCAAGUAGAAGUCUAUAAAAUUCAGCUGGCUGAAAUGACUUCUGAGAAACGUAAAGCUCAUGAACAGCUGAAGACCUCAGCAGACCAGCACCAGCGCACGCUGAGCGCAUACCAGCAAAGAGUGACCGCCCUUCAGGAAGAAUGCCGCACUGCCAAGGCAGAACAAGCUGCUCUAGCCUCUGAAUUUGAGAACUACAAAGUCCGAGUUCACAAUGUUCUAAAACAACAGAAAAAUAAAUCUGUGUCUCAGACUGAAACGGAGGGAGCUAAACAAGAAAGAGAACACCUGGAAAUGCUGAUUGAUCAACUAAAAAUCAGAUUACAGGACACCCAAAAUAACUUACAGAUCACCGUAUCCGAACUUCAGACAUUACAGUUGGAACAUGAUACUCUGCUAGAAAGGCACAACAAGAUGCUACAGGAAACUGUGUCCAAAGAGGCGGAACUCCGAGAAAAGUUGUGUUCAAUACAGUCCGAGAAUAUGAUGCUAAAGUCUGAACAUGCACAGACUGUGAGUCAACUGACAUCUCAAAAUGAGGUCCUUCGCAGCAGCUUCCGCGAUCAAAUGCGCCACUUGCAGGAAGAGCACAGAAAGACCAUGGAAACUCUACAGCAGCAGCUUUCCAAGGUGGAAGCUCAGCUUUUCCAGCUUAAGAGUGAGCCAACCGCAAGAAGCCCAGCUUCUUCCCACCAACCUUUGAAGAACCUUCGAGAAAGGAGAAGCACAGACCUUCCCCUACUGGACAUGUACACCAUCACCCGGGAGGAGGGAGAAGGAAUGGAGACAACUGACACAGAGUCUGUGUCUUCCUCUGGCACUCACACACAGUCUUUAGAGCAACUGCUUAAUUCUCCUGAAACUAAACUAGAGCCUCCUUUAUGGCAUGCUGAAUUUACCAAAGAAGAAUUGGUUCAAAAGCUCAGUUCCACCACAAAAAGUGCUGAUCACUUAAAUGGCCUGCUUCGGGAAACAGAAGCAACCAAUGCAGUCCUUAUGGAACAAAUUAAGCUCCUCAAAAGUGAAAUAAGAAGACUGGAAAGAAAUCAGGAACGAGAAAAGUCUGUGGCUAACCUGGAGUACUUGAAGAAUGUCUUGCUACAGUUCAUUUUCCUGAAACCAGGUAGUGAGAAAGAAAGGCUCCUUCCUGUUAUAGAUACAAUGCUGCAGCUCAGCCCCGAAGAAAAGGGAAAACUUGCUGCAGUUGCUCAAGGGAAAAAAGAAAAAGGCCAACAAUUCAAUAGGAAAAAAGGUGAAGACUGAAGCUUUUUUGAUCAUCUCCAGACUGGUAGGAAGAGAACACUCACGUACUCAUGUGAGGAAGAAAAUGCUUCCCGUUCCUCUGGAUGGGCAUCCUAUCUGCAUAGUUGGUCUGGACUUCGAUAGAUUGAUGGGAAAACAU